GAUGAACGCUAGCUACAGGCUUAACACAUGCAAGUCGAGGGACCGGCGCACGGGUGAGUAACACGUAUCCAACCUGCCCUUUACUCGGGGAUAGCCUUUCGAAAGAAAGAUUAAUACCCGAUAUAAAGGAUGGGGAUGCGUUCCAUUAGGUUGUUGGUGAGGUAACGGCCCACCAAGCCUUCGAUGGAUAGGGGUUCGGAGAGGAAGGUCCCCGACAGUGGAACUGCGACACUGUCCAAACUCCGACGGGAGGCAGCAGUGUAGAAUAUUGGGCAAUGGGCGUUAGCCUGAACCAGCCAAGUAGCGUGAAGGAUGAAGGCUUAUGAGUCGUAAACUUCUUUUGUAUAAGAAUAUGUAUUAUAUGAAUAAGGAUCGGCUAACUCCGUGCCAGCAGCCGCGGUAAUUC
rnacentral:rRNA from 1 species